rnacentral:rRNA from 1 species
AACGAACACUGGCGGCAGGCCUAACACAUGCAAGUCGAACGCUCGUAGCAAUACGGGAGUGGCAGACGGGUGAGUAACACGUGGGAACCUUCCCUAUGGUUCGGAAUAGCUCAGGGAAACUUGGGGUAAUACCGGAUAAGCCCUUCGGGGGAAAGAUUUAUCGCCAUUGGAUGGGCCCGCGUCGGAUUAGCUAGUUGGUGGGGUAACGGCCUACCAAGGCGACGAUCCGUAGCUGGUCUGAGAGGAUGAUCAGCCACACUGGGACUGAGACACGGCCCAGACUCCUACGGGAGGCAGCAGUGGGGAAUAUUGGACAAUGGGCGCAAGCCUGAUCCAGCCAUGCCGCGUGAGUGACGAAGGUCUUCGGAUUGUAAAGCUCUUUUGGCGGGGACGAUAAUGACGGUACCCGCAGAAUAAGCCCCGGCUAACUUCGUGCCAGCAGCCGCAGUAA